rnacentral:rRNA from 1 species
UACGUAGGGUGCGAGCGUUGUCCGGAAUUAUUGGGCGUAGAGGGCUCGUAGGCGGUUUGUCGCGUCGGGAGUGAAAUCCACUGGCUUAACUGGUGGCUUGCUUUCGAUACGGGCAGACUGGAGGUAUGCAGGGGAGAACGGAAUUCCUGGUGUAGCGGUGAAAUGCGCAGAUAUCAGGAGGAACACCGGUGGCGAAGGCGGUUCUCUGGGCAUGUCCUGACGCUGAGGAGCGAAAGUGUGGGGAGCGAACAGG